rnacentral:rRNA from 1 species
GAUUUCUGGUUUGGCGCGCCUGGCCCGCCACGGUUACGUGUGUGAGUGCCGGGACGCGCCUGCCAUCCUUCUAGUGAACUAUUCUGCCCUUCAUUGGGUGGGAUAGGUAGCUAGAUCUUUUACUUUGAAAAAAUUAGAGUGUUUAAAGCAGGCGUUUGCUAUGAAUACAUUAGCAUGGAAUAAUAACUUAGGACUUCGGUUCUAUUUUGUUGGUUUCUAGGACUGAAGUAAUGAUUGAUAGGGAUAGUUGGGGGUGCUAGUAUUCAGCGGCCAGAGGUGAAAUUCUCGGAUUCGCUGAAGACUAACUUAUGCGAAAGCAUU